rnacentral:rRNA from 1 species
AACGAACGCUGGCGGCAGGCUUAACACAUGCAAGUCGAACGCCCCGCAAGGGGAGUGGCAGACGGGUGAGUAACGCGUGGGAAUCUACCUAGUUCUACGGAACGACAGUUGGAAACGACUGCUAAUACCGUAUACGCCCUACGGGGGAAAGAUUUAUCGGAAUUAGAUGAGCCCGCGUAAGAUUAGCUAGUUGGUGGGGUAAUGGCCUACCAAGGCGACGAUCUUUAGCUGGUCUGAGAGGAUGAUCAGCCACACUGGGACUGAGACACGGCCCAGACUCCUACGGGAGGCAGCAGUGGGGAAUAUUGGACAAUGGGCGCAAGCCUGAUCCAGCCAUGCCGCGUGAGUGAUGAAGGCCUUAGGGUUGUAAAGCUCUUUCACCGAUGAGGAUAAUGACGGUAGUCGGAGAAGAAGCCCCGGCUAACUUCGUGCCAGCCGCCGCCGUAACAC